rnacentral:rRNA from 1 species
GCACGUGCUAGUACAUACAUUUCAAAUGUGAGACUGCGGACGGCUCAGUAAAUCAGUUAUAAUCUGCUCGAUUGUAAGGGUUAUUGGAUAACCGUGGGAAAUCUAGAGCUAAUACAUGCAAUAUAGGGUAUGAGCAAUCAUACUUGAUGGCAUUUAUUAGAUAAUGACCAACCGUAAGUUCACGCUUACGUGGUGAAUCUAGAUAACUGUGCAGAUCGUAUGGCCUAGAGCUGACGACAUUUCGAUUGAAUUUCUGCCCUAUCAACUUUUGUCGGUAGUGUAGUGGACUACCGAGGUUUUUACGGGUGACGGGGGAUCAGGGUUCGAUUCCGGAGAGGGAGCCUGAGAAACGGCUACCACAUCCAAGGAAGGCAGCAGGCGCGCAAAUUACCCAAUCCAGACAAUGGGAGGUGGUGACGAAAAGUACCGGAUGACGGUCUAUGAUUGUCAAUCUGGAAUGGAAUCAAUGUAAGAUAUUGAUUGAGAAACUACUAGAGGGCAAGUCUGGUGCCAGCAGCCGCGGUAAUUCCAGCUCUAGUAGCGUAUCUCAAAGUUGUUGCGCUUAAAACGCUCGUAGUUGGAUCACAAACUGCCCGUUGGUGCGAGGUUGGCAGUGUCAGCUUUGAAGAUUUGUCUGCGAUGUCAUCAUCCAGUCAGAAAUUUAAGUGAUGUUGUUUGAUUUCGAUAAGCCAGUGGGUAGUAAUUGCACGUAAGGAUAGGCAUCGGCCUUGAGUGAGCAGAUGUUUGUGUCUUACGGAGUGUGCCUUGAGUAAAUCAGAGUGCUUAAAGCAGGCUUUACGCUUGAAUGAUAUAGCAUGGAACGAACAAUCGUGUAUAGUGUAUGCUGUAAAUGACAGUUGGGCUUAGUUCAACGUCACCAGCAUAUGACACCGACCGCCAAUUACGGAUGUUGGUUCCGUAUUGGGGUAUUGAUUAAGAGGAGCAGUUGGGGGCAUUGGUAUUUGGCAGCGAGAGGUGAAAUUCUUGGACCUGCCAAGGACUAACAAAUGCGAAGGCAUCUGUCCAGACUGUAUCCAUUAAUCAAGAACGAUAGUGAAAGGUUCGAAGACGAUCAGAUACCGUCCUAGUUUUCACCAUAAACGAUGCCGACCCGGGAUCAGUUUGGAGCGCUUUGUUUCAAUGCUCGGAGUUGGUCCCCCUGGGAAACCUAAAGUUUUUCGGUUGCGGGGGGAGUAUGGUCGCAAGGCUGAAACUUAAAGGAAUUGACGGAAGGGCACCACCAGGGGUGGAGCCUGCGGCUUAAUUUGACUCAACACGGGAAAACUUACCUGGUCCGAACAUCCGAAGGAUACACAGACCGAUAGAUCUUUGUUGAUGGGGUGAAAAGUGGUGCAUGGCCGUUCUUAGUUCGUGGAGUGAUCUGUCAAGUUGAUUCUGGUAACGAGCGAGACUAUGUUCUCCAUUUGACAGACUGGAAAAGACGGUUCUGGCAGUUGUUGGCAACAAUGACUAGCCGAAUUGUUGUUGGUAACGCUUGUGAGCUGUUGUGAGGCUGGGGGUUAAAGCUCAGUGUAGCAAUGGUGAACUUGUGUUUCUUCCCAGUUACACGCGGUAUAGUUUCGACUGUAUAGCGUAUCAUGGAGAGACAGCGGAAUAUAUAUAAAAAUCCGAGGAAGUAUAGCUAUAACAGGUCCGUGAUGCCCUUAGAUGUUCAGGGCUGCACGCGCGCUACAAUGAUAUUAACAACGAGUUUUUGAAUCGAAAGAUUCGAGUAAUCUUGCAAUUAAUAUCGUGAUGGGGAUCGACGUUUGUAAAUACGUCGUGAAAGAGGAAUCCCUAGUACGUGCGAUUCAUUUAGAUCGCGCGGAUUGCGUCCCUGCCCUUUGUACACACCGCCCGUCGCUACUACCGAGUGAAUCGUGUCAUGAUACCUUGUGAGCGGACGUUGCCUGAGCCUUGUGCUUAGCGUAACGCUGCAAUCAGCGUAAAAUGGUGCAA